rnacentral:lncRNA from 1 species
AUUAACUGCCCCAGACAAGUUUUACUGCCUCAAGGUCACAGAGUAAUGGUGCACUGAAAGGCUACAGAAAUGCAGCAAAACAAGUCCCUUGGUGCUGGGGAGACCAGAGCACUUUUUCCAGGAAAGGCAGAGCUCUGUGCACACCUAUAAAGCUUCAUCCAGGCUAGGUGAAGAUAAAGAGCAUUUGUUGAGGAGGAAGGAAGAUUCCACCUCCACAGCUCCAACUGUGAGGCCUCACCAAUAAACAGAGGC